GCACUCACGUGAACAAAAACGCUUCUCAGCACGACGCGGCGACUUCAACUGCCACUUCAAAUCGAGGGGAAGGGAGAAGGGAAGAAUUCGGAUUCGGCCUUGGAUUUUUGAAUUUUUUUCCCAGCUGACAAAUUGUUGUUUUAAGUUUAAAGCUGUUUUCAAAAUGUAAACGUCACCAUCCGUUCAUUUUCUGGACCCACUACAUCCCUUUUCAGGGGCACAGGGAGCCUGUCCCGGAUACUCAUGGGUAAAAGCGGAGUACAUCCAGGAAAAGGUUUUGUUAAAUGUACAUGCUUAUUCAUGCACUGAUUUGACCUCUCAGAAAGUGGCUGCAGGCGGUCAGGCAGACUGUCUCUCCAGAGAAUACCUGCGCAAACACUUCCCAGCUGCAGAUACAUGAACCGCAGAGUCAGGCUGUUGCGGAUCAAGACGAGGACCAGUGCGUUCGGAGGAUUUAAAAAGAAAAGAAUCAUUUUAUUAGUUUACAGGAUCUUUUUUUUAAUCACAUCCGUUCUGGUCCAAAUGAAGAAUAAACUGUAUGUUUUAAUGCAUACGGCCCAUAUUCAAAAGGAUAUGGGUCAGACCGGAUCUUUUUAUAAACCGUUCUGCUUAUAUUUGUGGGUCACUCUGCUUUUUUUACAUUCAGAGUUCUGGAAAUAAAUCAGAAAUGGCCUUGAUCUGCCACACAGUGAGGGUCAUUUGUUAAAAAUGAAAAGGAACUAAAAAGUGCAC
rnacentral:lncRNA from 1 species